GUUUUCCUUUCAGUCAGCAUUAGGGUUUUAAACCCUAAACUGAACUUUUUCCUUUCAGUCAGCAUUAGGGUUUUAAACCCUAAACUGAACUUUUCCAUUCAAUCAUUAGGGUUUUAAACCCUAAACUGAACGCUUUCCAUUUAGUCAGCAUUAGGGUUUUAAACCCUAAACUGAACUUCUCCUUUAGUCAGCAUUAGGGUUUAAACCCUAAACUAGAACUUUUUCCUUUAGUCAGCAUUAGGGUUUUAAACCCUAAACUGAACUUUUUCCAUUAAGUCAGUAUUAGGGUUUUAAACCUUAAACUAAACUUUUCCGUUAGUCAGUAUUAGGGUUUAAAACCCUAAACAGAACUUUUUCCAUUCAGUCAGUAUUAGGGUUUUAAAACCCUAAACUGAACUUUUCCUUUAGUCAGCAUUGGGGCCCCAACCCUAAACUGAACUUUUUCCCAGUUGGUCAGCAUUAGAGUUUCAACUCUAAACUGAACUUCUUCCCAGCUAGUCGGUAUUAGGGCUCCAACCCUGAACUGAGCAUUCAUAUCCUCUUUCAUCAAUUUUAUGAACUUCCUGGCGAAUAAUUCACGAAAUUUUCCUAGUGAAACUGGGGCAGAAAAUUUCGUUCGUUUGUUUUUCCC
rnacentral:lncRNA from 1 species